GAUUUCUGGUCUGACAUGCCUGGCCCGCCGGGGUUACCCGCGUGAGUGCCGGUGCGCGUCUACCAUCCUUCCAGAGAACGGCCUUACCCUUCACUGGGCCGAGGUCGCGAUCUGGAUCUUUUACUUUGAAAAAAUUAGAGUGUUUCAAGCAGGCUUUAUGCUAUGAAUACAUUAGCAUGGAAUAAUAAUUUAGGACUUCGGUUCUAUUUUGUUGGUUUCUAGGACUGAAGUAAUGAUUGAUAGGGAUAGUUGGGGGUGCUAGUAUUCAGCGGCCAGAGGUGAAAUUCUCGGAUUCGCUGAAGACUAACUUAUGCGAAAGCAUU
rnacentral:rRNA from 1 species